rnacentral:rRNA from 1 species
UACGUAGGGACCAAGCGUUGUUCGGAUUUACUGGGCGUAAAGGGCGCGUUAAGGCGGCAAAUUAAGUCAGCUGUGAAAUCUCCGAGCUUAACUCGGAAACUGUCAGCUGAUACUGAUGUGCUAGAGUGCGGAAGGGGCAAUCGGAAUUCUUGGUGUAGCGGUGAAAUGCGUAGAUAUCAAGAGGAACACCUGAGGUGAAGACGGGUUGCUGGGCCGACACUGACGCUGAGUGCGC